AACAACCUACCCUAUCAAAUGGCAACACCUCACCACCCCUUCAUUUCUUGUCCACAAAGGCAGAAAGGAUAAACAUACACUAAAAAGGGGGUCCCACGAGGGAACCUUCCAGGAUGGUGCCAAGAACCCUUUUGUUUUUUAUUUUUUUAUACAUACAGGGAUCACACUCCAUUUUGGGGGCAGAUAUACACAUACACAAUAGACUCUCAGGAUAUUAUUUUUUUCACUAACCUCACGCCAUAAACACAUACCAAUAGAGAGACCAUUCUCAAUUCCAUUUGAAAAGAGACCAUCUAUCAAUACCCACUACAAUUUAUUCACAGACCCACACGUCCACUCUCAAUGAACAAAUGCAAAACACACAACACACAGUAGAAUGAAGAAAUGGGAGACGGGAGAGAGAUCGGAAAAGGAAAUCGCGAGUUAGAAAGAAACGGAGAGAGAUCAAUUGAGAGAGGUAGAGAGAAAGCAGAGAUCUGAGAGAGAAGGAGAGAAUCGGAAAAGGGGUACUGCUCCGGCAAGUUUCGCCUGAGAGAAGUCAAAAUCCAAUCUGUUCUCGUCGGUUCUCGCCGUGUUUGAGCCCGCCGGAGCUCCGGCGAUGCAAAACAGCGACCCCCAGCCCUCAAAAUCCCCCAAAAUCUUUUCUUUUUUCUUGGUUUUAGACGAGAUUCCGUCGAAGAACGUUAAGGUUGCCGGAUUCUAACUUGUUUCAUCGAUUCUAGUUACCAGCCGAGAUCGCCAGAGCUACAAGCACACGGGUUCUUCAGUUUUUCUUGUGAUUUGUGAUUCUCGAGUUAGUUUAUUCAUGCCCGUGGAUUGCUGUUCGGAUUGCAUUUCGUGAAUAUUCUGCGUUUUGGGUUUAGUAGAUAGUCGAGUUGGUAGUUUUGUUUGAGGUUCAACCCGAGGCUUCGGACACGGAUUCUGGCUUGUUUAACUGAGUAAUACAUUGAAGGUCAUUAAGGUCCAUUUCUCAUCCCUUCUUAAUUGAGCUUAAUUAUCGAUAUUUGGUGUGGUAAAUUCAUGGCACGUGAAUAUUGUUUCAUGUGAUUUGAUUAUGUUUGGAUUAUGGAUUGAUUUCAUUUGAAUAGAGUAAUUGAAGGAUUUGAAUUCGUUUGGGAUAGAUUUUAACUUGGGGAAGACGGGAAUUGAAAGGUGAUAAAGUGAAUAUUGUAGUGUUUUGAUUCAUCGAUUGUUAUUGAAUUUGAAAUGAAUGUUAAUGUUAUCGGACUCGGUAGUAUCAUGAUAAAGCUGUCAAAAGCGUAGGCAAAUAGUAGGCUUAGGUAGGCAAAUUUAGAACUUAUGGAGUGUUUGAGUGCUCGAAAUGUUUGUGGAAUGGUUUAUUUUUCGCAUAUGAAAAAUGUAUUCAUUUAGCCGGGGAAUGCCCCGGGACACAUUGUAUUUAUUCACCGGGGGAUGCCCCGACGUAUUAUGUUGGCGGAAAACAUUUGUGAUGAAGGCCCGAGGCAUUGGGUAAGCAUUGGAGCAUAGUUUAGGAUUAGUCUAGAAUAAGAUUUAUAUUUUCGUAUUUUCUUAUCUUUGGGACUGUAUAAUUCAGACUGGACACUAUAUUUUUGGAUUGUUGUUUGAUGUGUUUGUUGCUUGUUUUAUGUAUUUGUGUGGUUUAUACAUUCAUAAUGUCAAAUUAGACGAUAUACUCUACCAAGCGACCGUGGUCAAACCACGGGAUCGAGGGGUGCCUAACACCUUCCCCUCGGUCAACAGAAUUUCUUAGCCGGAAUCUCUGUUCACGGAUUAGUUUUUAGAGUCAAACCAUUUUGAAAAGGAUAUUCCAAAGGUGACUUGGCACACCGGAUUAUACCAAGUGGCGACUCUGAAUAAGAAAAAAUAAUGUAAAUAAUCCUUUUUUUUCGAAAUAAAUUUUUUCAUUUUUGUCACCUUAAUAAUAAAACCCUUUCGAACUUAAAAUCCAAUCUUUUGGAGUAUGAAAAAGGGGUGUGACAGUUCUGGCGACUCUGCUGGGGAACUAUUUCAGAAUCCGAUCUUUUUUUUGGAGUCGUAUCGGCUUUGUUUGGCAUUACGAGUGUAUAAGCAUUGUUUGUGAUUUUUGUUUAUGUUUUCACUUUUGUGCGUUUUCAUUCUCUUUGUUUAUAGUAUUUAUCCUAUGUGUUUACCACUUUUAUAUCUAACAUCAUGUGCAUAACCCGAGUCAUUCUUUCCGCAACAAGUCUCGGAGCGCACGUCGUGCGCACGAACUCUAGUUGAGUCACCUUUAUUUUAGGGUGGGAGCUGUUGGAUGUAUGGAGUAGGUGGAAAGCAAAGCAGCCACAAUCAACCAUAUGCUCCCCCGAACGGCCUUGUUAGUAAACCACAAUGUAGGUCAGCCUUUAGGUCAUUCUUAUAUACAUCAUAUUGAGACCUAGAGGGACCCACACGGCCCUUUGUAGGAAACUCACCUCUAAAGCAUCUCUACGUGCUAAAUGUUGCAUCUCUGAGAGUAAUGUGGUCAUUUGACGGACCGAUUUGGGGAAAGCAAGUGUUAGAAGUAAAGUGUGUAGACAAGAAAGUGUUGAAAAAAAAAAAGGAAAGAAAAAGGUGAAUGAAAAAGAGUUUCGUAGUUUUUAGGUUCUUUAUGGCUUUUGUUUUCCACAAUUCCACAAUUCAAAAAAAGAUUUUUUUUACUUUUUGCACUCAUUUUUCAAAAAAAAAAAAAGCAUCAAAAAGAUUUUCCUUUUGUUUCCUUUAACAAGCAUUCACAAUUCGAAAACUCCAAAAAGAUUUUUUAGGAGCUUUUUAUAAAAAAUAAAAAUGCAAAAAAGAAAAAGGUGGUAGAAGUUUUAUACAUUUCAUAUAACAAAAAUACCAAAAAAAAAUAAAUUCUUUCAUAGUUGUUGGUGUCAUUUUUUAUGUGAAGUGCCAAAUUGAAAACUCAAAAAAAAAAAAGAUUUUGUUAUGUUGUUCAUCGUAUGUCUUUGGUCGUGUCUCAAGUCAGGGUGCAAUCUGUUAUUUAAUCAUUAAUUGUCCAAUCUGGACGAACUACACACCCCUGAUUCUCCUCUUUCGGGAUGUGAGAUAUGUAGGCAACCUAUUGUUGGUUCGGGGACCUUAUUUGAAAAUUCAAAAAAAAUAAAAAAUUCUUCACUCUUUAUUAGAGUAGAUGUCAUAUAUUUCUUUAAAAGAAAACUGUAAAAAGAUUUUUCUUUAAUAGAUUCAAUUUUCAUUUUUAUAUGAAAUUCGAAAUUGAAAACCCAAAAAGAUUUUCUUUGGUAGUCAUAGGUUUUAUUUUGUAUAGGAACAAAAAAAAAAUUCAAAAAAAAGAAUUUCUUCACUCUUUAUUUAGAGUAGGUGUUUCAUAUACAUCUUCAAGAGAAAACUACAAAAAGAUUUUCCUUUAAUAGUUUCAAGUUUUAUUUUCAUAUGAAAUUCAAAAUUGAAAAACCCAAAAGGAUUUUUCUUUGGUAAUCAUAAGUUUCGUUUUGUAUAGGUAUUUUAAAAGUGAAAAAUGCAAAAAGAUUUUCGUCAAUUCUUUUGAAAAAAUGUUAUUUUCUUUUCUUCUCAAAGUUUCAAGGAAAAGAAUGAAAAAAGAGUUUAAUUGGCCAUUUUGGCAAGACUUCACGAACUAUGCACACCUGAUUCUCCUCUCUCGGGGGUGAGAUACGUAGGCGCCCUUCUUGGGUUCGGUGACCUUUUAAAAAAAAAAAAGGUUUUGAAAAAUUGUUGAACUCUAACGCAUUUGCUCUCUCUUGUCCAGUUAGUUUAAGGUGGUUGGUUUGUGGCAUUUUGGCUGGUCCCCCAUAUUGCUCCAAGACACAGAGGAAGUUAUGGCCAACAAGGAUACCGAGUUAGUGGUCACUAAUCAGAUAGGGAGUUCGGGGAAUGAGAAUGUAGAAGAUAAUGAAGAGAUUCAGAAAUUAAGGCGGCAAAUAACAGAAAUGCAUCGAGCUUGGGCUUAUGGGUUUCCGCCUCCUCCAGCUCCCACUGAUAAUCUGGAAUAUCUUUCUAGCUUGCCUCUCAUGUCACAUGCACAAUUUCUCAUUUUUGUUGAUAUGCCACAACAUGCAUCAGGAUCGACUCCAGGGCAACAAUAUCCAACCACUUCCAAUGUUCAUUUCCUCACUCCCCAAUCCAAGACUACCACAUACUCGGCUCCAGCUGUUGUUCAUGCUUUUACGGCGCCACCCCCACCUGAAGCUCCUACUUUUGAUGUUCAUCCACAAGUUGUGCCUCCCUACUCUACAAGAGAGCCUGCAUUGAAUAUUUUUAGUGAUCAGUAUUAUGCUCUCGAGCCUACAUUUAAGUCGACUAGUCCAUACGAUUGCCCUCAACUGCCUGAAUUUCCUCCUAACACUGAGAAGCCUGUUAUGACAGAAGAACAAGAGGAAAUAGCCAGAAAAUUAAGAAGUUUAGAACUGACUAUGAAAAACUUGCAAGGACUUGGGGGGUACAAAAGUGUCUCAUAUAAAAAUCUGUGCAUGUUUCCUGGUGUAUAUCUUCCUCUUGGUUUUAAAAUGCCAAAGUUUGAGAAGUAUGAUGGACAUGGCGAUCCUAUAGCACAUUUGAGACGCUAUUUCAACCAGCUAAGGGGUGCUGGAGGGAAGGAAGAAUUACUCUGGCAUAUUUUGGUGAGUCUUUCAGGUCUAGCUUCAGAAUAGUUUGUUGACCAAGACAUUGACAAAUGGAUUAGUUGGGAUGCCUAGCUAACGAAUUUGUGCAACAAUUUCAAUACAAUGUGGAGUUAAUCCUUGAUGAAAAAUCCCUAACUAGUAUAACAAAGAAGAAUACUGAGAGUUUUAGGGAGUAUGCGAUCAGAUGGCGCGAACAAGCUGCUAGAGUAAAACCGCCAAUGAAAGAAAAAAAAUAGUGGAGGUGUUUAUUAAAAUAGUGGAGGUGUUUAUUCAAGCGCAGGACGAAGCAUAUUAUCAACACUUGUUACCUGCAUUAGGCAAGCCGUUCAUUGAAGUCCUCAAAAUGGGGGAGAUGAUAGAGGAUAGAAUAAAGAUAGGUCGCAUUAUGAGUUUUGCAACAUUGAAAGCGACUACUCAAGCAAUUCAAAAAGGUUCGGGAAGUGUUGAAGGAAAGAAAAUGAGGAAGAUGCAUCUGCCAUUAUAGUUGGACAAUAAGCACAGGUAAGAGGACCAUAUCAUUGUUACCCACGGGCUCAAACCCAAGUUUAUAGCCAAGUUCCACAGAAUCUUUCCCAAAAUCCAUUAUAUUUCAUUCCCCAUCUCCAUAUCAAGUGUAUAAUGAGCAACCAUAUAUUCAACCCCCAUCUUACCCACACUGGCGUAGGCCAACUCUAUCGAGUUAUCCUUCAACUCUACAUACAUACCGAAGCCUUUCUAGGUCUGGUUUUCAAUUUAAUCCAAAUAAUGAAAUGAAACAGAAGUCGAGGGAUAACUUCACACCGAUUGGAGAGUCGUAUGCAAGUUUAUUCCAGAUAUUGGUAUAGCAGGACAUAAUCACUCCUCUCCUUGGGUAUACUCCUGACCCAUAUUCAAGAAGUUUUGAUCCUAAUGUACGAUGUGCAUAUCAUUCUGAUGUUCAGGGUCACAGUAUUGAAGAUUAUCGUGCUUUGAAAAGAGAAAUCGAAAAGAUGAUUUAAGAUAAAUCAAUCAUGGUACAAAACAUUGACAGUGAGGAAAGCUCUAGUCAUGCUGAUAUGCAAACCAGUGGCUAAGAUGUCAGGCUGAGCAAUUGAGAAGUCACCUCUCUCCUUACUAGGAAGGGGUCUGGUAGUUUGUUUUAUUUUAUUUUCUGCUAUCCGAACUAUUUCAGGGUUGUAGUUCGGGAUCUAUCUUGUUUUGUCCUUUUGUUGUUUAUGUUCAAACCCUUCUAUCUUUUGUUUCAACUAAAUGAAGUGUCCCAUUUUUCUUUGUGUUUUAAAUAUGUGUUGUUUGUUUGUUUUCUUUACAUAGUACAUUUUAUGUUGACCCUAGUGAUAUGACAUGCUAGUGAAAUUUUUAGCCAGAUCUUAAAAUCCAGUUUAAGCAUGAACUUUGAAUCACAGUGUUAAAGUUAGAAAAAGAGAGCAUAUGAGAAAAUAGAUAGAGUGCUGAGACAUUUGGUAAUAGGUUAAGGCAAUUGUUUUGAGAAUCACAAGAACAACUUGGUCAUCGAUUGAAAGGCAGGUCCUAAUUAGGUCAAAUAGUGGACGUGUGAUCCAUAUAUCAAGAGAAACAAGAAGAUAAUCAGCUCUACAAAAUCAUGAAUCACUCGAUGUGAGGGAUGCAUAACAAAGGUAGAGUUGUAUGCCGGACAAGUAAAGAAGAAGAAGUGACACACGUUCAAUUUAACUUAGUAUUGUUAAAGUAUCACACAUGAUCUUUAUCUUCCACUUUCAUAUUGCAUGCUAUGUACUUGCAUUUUCAAGGAUUGAUAUGACGAAUGCAUUUCAUUCUAUUAUCCAAACAUCGUGUCAUCCUUUGUUUACCCCAUUUGAUAUUCAAUCCUAUAUUAUUUCAUACCCCUAUUUUGGAAUCAAUAUAGUCAGCAAAGCUCAAAAGAAAAGUGUCGAGCAAAAUAAUAGAGUCAGAAAAAGUUCAAAAAAAAAGAGAAAAAAUAUGUCCAAAAAGAAAGAAAAGAGAAGAGUGUCAAGAAAAAUAGGAUCAGUAAAGGUCUCAAAGAGAAAAAGAAUCAGCAAAAAAAAAAAGAAAGAAAAAUCCGAUCAAAAAAAGAACAAGCUGUCAGAACUACGCAUGACCUGAUUCUUCUCUCUCGGGGGUGAGAUACGUAGGCUGCCCUACUAAGGGCUCGGUCUAACCAAAUAAAUAAUUUAGAGUCAUCCAGUCAAAAGAAACCGAGGCAUGAGUUAAUCCUCAUUUGUUUGAGUCGAUUCUAAAAGUUGUAAGUCCUAACCCACUUCAAGUGUCGUUUGGGCCUCAUGUCAUCCUUUCUUUCUAACCCUAUCCAAAAGCCAAGUUAAAACCAAAGAAAGACCUUCAGAUCAAUCUUUGAGAAUGUUAAGGCUAAGCAUGCAAUGGAUAUGAUGACGCAUUUUGGGAACUACUUGUUUUCCUUAGCAUAAGGAAUCAAGAGAGAAAUAAAAUAUAUGAGAGUCUUAUUGGUGAAAACCCUCAUAGACAUCGUAAGGCAAUAGUAAGUUGAGAGAGAUAAAAAUGAGAGAGUCUUAUUGGUGAAAACCCUCACGGGCACCGUGAGACGAUUGUGAGUUGGGAGAAAUGAGAAUAAGAGAGUCUCAUUAGUAAAAACCCUCACAUACACCAUAAGACAAUGGUGAGCGGAGGAAAAGACCCCUCAAGGCGUCACUAGCCGAAUGAGGUCUGAAUGCAAUUGGCCUAAGAGAGCAACUUAGUUUCAAGGCCAUUAACUUAACAAUAAUUGGUAGAAAGUUUGGAUGGAAAGAUCAGGUAGCUUAAUCCAAAAUGCAUGGCAUAAUCAUUAGAGUUGACUGUCAUAUUUAGAAAAUUUUUUCAUUUCUUUGUUUCAAAUGGGGACACUCAUUGUCUUUUCUUUCUUCUCUUUAUUUUUAUUUUGUUUUCUUUAGUCAGUUGUCCAAAUAAAAUCAUUGUUAUUUUUUUUUCUCUUGUCUUUAAGUCAAGUCCAUGUCAAAACAAGGGAGAAAAGAUCUCAAAACAUGGCUACCAGCUUCUUCAAUUGCACAAAGCAAUACAAAAGGGCUAGCACAUGCUACAAACAUGAUUGUGAGCCAAAACAAGGCAUGCAGAAAGUUUUGUCAACUGAAAAGUCUGGGAACUCAUGGAAAUACCAAGGUUCAAAGCGUUUAUCUAAGAAGCAUGACAAAGCAGGGAUACUAUAUUUGUUUCAGAGUCACUCUUAAUAAUCUGAGUUUGGGUCAAUGAUACAGCAUGCCAGUGAAACAUGCUAAUGGUUGAAAGCAAGAUUAAAUGCGACUGGGGCAAGAGCGAUUUCCACGAAAGCCAAAGCCACAAACUAACCACUGUGUUUUUAAAGUAACAAGUUUUUUUCGUAUGAAAUAGGAACACAUGCUACCUUCGAAUCAAGGAUUUCAAAGCUUAAACAUCAAGAGCUGUAAUAUUCUCAAUUCUACAAAUGCAAGAGGCAAUGUUGCUGCACAUAUUUGGUAUUCAAACCCAUGGUAAUUCAAGUGGCAUUUGUACGGAGAUGUACUUCCUUGUUUUGGUAAUUCUAGAAACAUUUGUAAAGAGACAUACUUCUUUGUUUGGGUAAUUCAAGCAACAUUUGUAAGGAGACGCACUUUCUGGUUUGGGCAAUUUGAGCGACAUUUAUAAGGAGAUGUACUUCCUUAAUUCAAGCAUUAUCAUAAGGAGACACACUUCCUUGUUUGGUUAAUUCAAGCAACAUUUUUAAGGAGAUGCACUUCCUUGUUUAGACAAUUCGAGCAACAUUUUUAAGGAGAUACACUUCCUUAAUUCAAGCGCUAUCAUAAGGAGACACACUUCCAAAGAAGACGCACUUCCUUGUUUUGGUAAUUCAAGCAGUAUUUGUUAGGAGACGAACUUUCUUAUUUGGUAAUUCGAUCGACAUUUGUGAGGAGACGCACUUCCUUGAUUGGUUAAUUCAAGCAACAUUUGUAAGGAGAUGCACUUCCUUGUUUAGGCAAUUCGAGCAACAUUUGUAAGGAGAAGCACUUUCUUGUUUGGUUAAUUCAUGAAAAAAUUUCUAAGGAGAUGCACUUCCUUGUUUGGUUAAUUCAAGAAGCAUUUGUGAGGAGACGCACUUCCUUGUUUGAGUAAUUCAAGCGACAUUGGUAAGGAGAUGCACUUCCUUGUUUUGAUAAUUCAAGCAACAUUGGUAAGGAGAUGUACUUCCUUGAUUGGGUAUUUUGAAUUUUGAUUUUUAGGUGAUGCACUUCCUUGUUUUGAUAAUUUAAGCAACAUUGGUAAGGAGAUGCACUUCCUUGAUUGGGUAUUUCGAAUUUUGAUUUUUAGGUGAUGCACUUUCUAACUUGAGUCUUGAUUUCUAGAAAAGGCACUUUCUAGUCGAGUUAUUGCAUUUAAUCCUUACGAGACGCACUUCCUUGCUAGUUUUCAUUUGUCAGGUGACACACUUUUAACUUAAAUUUGUAUCUCUAGAAGACACAGUUUGUAGUUAGAAUCCCUUACUUUAAUUCUUAGGAGAUGCACUUCCUAGUCUUGCUUAUUCAAUUAUACUCUCAAGAGAUGCAUUUCUUGGUCAGAGUCUUGACUCAUUAUUGCAACAUGCAAGUAGGUAUGAUAUGACUUUUCAAAAAAUCUUCUGAUGAUAAACUGGGGCAAGUGCCAGCGAUUUGGAACAAAGAUGAAAGGAACGAGUGCCGGGGCAGAUACCUGAGAAGCCAAGAGCUGCAAGCCACCAUUAAGUUUUUAACUGACAAAUUUUCUUCGUUGAAAUAGGGAAAAAUUUUCUUCACUUAAUUCAGCUACCAUUGGUAAUGCACAUCCGUGGGAUUUUACUUUCUACUCAGGACCCUCCUGAAAAAUGGGACUUUACUUUCUGUUCAGGACCCUUCUGAAAAAUGGGACUUUACUUUCUGUUCAGGACCCUUCUGAAAAAUGGGACUUUACUUUCUGCUCAGGACCCACCUGAAAAAUGGAAUUUUACUGUUUGUUCAGGACCCUCUUGAAAAAUGGGAAUUUACUUUCAGUUCAAGACCCUUCUGAAAAAUAGGACUUUACCUUCUGUUCAGGACCCUCCUGGAAAAUGGUAUUUUACUUUCUGUUCAGGACCCUCUUGAAAAAUGGGAUUUUACUUUCUGUUCAGGACCCUCCCGAAAAACGAGAUUUUACCUAAUGUUCAGGAUCUUCCUGAAAAAUGGGAUUCUACUUUAUGCUCAGGACCCUCCUGGAAAAUGGGACUUUAUUUUCUGUUCAGGACCCUUUUGAAAAAUGAGAAUUUACUUUCAGUUCAGGACCCUUCUGAAAAAUGGAAUUUUACUUUCUGUUCAGGACCCUCCUGAAGAAUGGGAAUUUACUUUCAGUUCAGGAACCUCCUGAAAAAUGGAACUUUACGUUCUGUUCAGGACUCUUCUAGAAAAUGGUAUUUUACUUUCUGUUCAGGACCCUCCUGAAAAAUGAGAUUUUACUUUCUGUUCAGGACCCUCUUGAAAAAUGGGACUACACUUUCAAAAAUGAAAUACUGCUUUACUAUAAUCUUUGUUUGGGAUAAUUUUCGUUCUAGUUUUAAUUCUGGUUUUAGGAGCCCGUCUGAAGAACAGGGUGAUGAAAUUACAGGUCAGGAACCCGUCAAAGGAACAGGAUGAAGAAGCUAAAAGUCGAGCAAUAAGGCGAAGAAAUUGAAAGGCAAAAAUAGCAAGUCAGGAGCCCGCCUGGAGAAUAGGGUGAAACAAUUGAAAGUCAAGCAAUAAGGCGAAGCAAUUGAAAGCUAAACAAGAAGUUGAGGGAAUUGCAAGUCAGGAGUCCACCUGAAGAAUAGGGUGAUAAAAAUCGAAUCAAGAGUCAAGAAAAACUGCAUAGAUAGGAUUUUGUAAUUUCAUUUAUGUUUUAACUUGUAAUUUUCAUUUUGAUGUAAUGAUAGAGCCGCGGACCGGAACCUAGAUGGAACCUCAGUUGACUCUCCAACUCGGUAUAGUCCAUCUCUUUCCAAUACCGGUCACUUGAUUCCUUCAUAACUUGGGUAGGUAGGAUAUCCUAAAUAAAUACUUAGUUUUCCUCCUUCUUUUUGUUUCAUUUUUGAAUAAGGGUUGGGACAAAAUUCUGUCUCAUUGUCUACUUCUUUGUCUGAAAAUACUGCGCGUUUACAUUCAAAGGGGACAUGAUGUAGACACGUAAUUUUGUCCCUCCAAAAAAUAUUUUUUGCCUAUUUACCUUAUUCUACCGUGUAUCCUCAUCCGUAUGAUAAUUCCUCUGCAAAAAGACAAAAAUAACAAACCAACAACCUACCCUAUCAAAUGGCAACAUCUCACCACCCCUCCUUUUCGUGUCCACAAAGGCAAAAAGGAUAAAUAUACACUAAAAAGGGGGUCCCACGAGGGAACCUUCCAGGAAGGUGCCAAGAACCCUUUUGUUUUUCAUUUUUUUUAUACAUACAGAGAUCACACUCCAUUUUGGGGGCAGAUAUACACAUACACAAUAGACUCUCAGGAUAUUAUUUUUUUUCACUAACCUCACGCCAAAAACAAACACCAAUAGAGAGACCAUUCUCAAUUUCAUUCGAAAAGAGACCAUCCAUCAAUACACACUACAAUUUAUUCACAGACCCAUACACCCGCUCUCAAUGAAAAAAUGCAAAACACACAGUAAAAUGGAGAAAUGAGAGACGGGAGCGAGAUCAAAAAAGGAAAUCGUGAGUUAGAAAGAAACAGAGAGAGAUCAAUUGAGAGAGGUAGAGAGAGAGCAGAGAUCUGAGAGAGAAGGAGAGAUUCGAAAAAAGGGUACUUCUCCGAUGAGUUUCACCUGAGAAAAGUCGAAACUCGGUCCGUUCUCGUUAGUUCUCGCCGUGUUUAAGCCGGCCGGAGCUUCGGCGACACGAAACAGCGACCCCCAGCCCUCAAAAGCCCCCAAAAUAUUUUCUUUUUUCUUGGUUUUAGACGAGAUUCCGCCGGAGAACGUUAAG
rnacentral:lncRNA from 1 species